rnacentral:rRNA from 1 species
GAUGAACGCUGGCGGCGUGCUUAACACAUGCAAGUCGAACGGAAAGGCCCAAGCUUGCUUGGGUACUCGAGUGGCGAACGGGGGAGUAACACGUGGGUUAUCUGCCCUGCACUUCGGGAUAAGCCUGGGAAACUGGGUCUAAUACGGGGUAGGACGUUGUUUUGGAUGCCAUUGUGGAAAGUUUUUUCGUUGUGGGAUGAGUUCGCGGCCUAUCAGCUUGUUGGUGGGGUAUUGGCCUACCAGGGCGUCGACGGGUAGCCGGCCUGAGAGGGUGUACGGCCACAUUGGACCUGAGAUACGGCCCAGACUCCUACGGGCGGCAGCAGUGGGGAAUAUUGCACAAUGGGCGCAAGCCUGAUGCAGCGACGCCGCGUGGGGGAUGACGGCCUUCGGGUUGUAAACUCCUUUCGCUAGGGACGAAGCGUUUUUGUGACGGUACCUGGAGAAGAAGCACCGGCUAACUACGUG